rnacentral:rRNA from 1 species
UACGGGGGGAGCAAGCGUUGUUCGGAUUUACUGGGCGUAAAGGGCUCGUAGGCGGCCAACUAAGUCGGAUGUGAAAUCCCCAGGCUUAACCUGGGAAUUGCAUCCGAUACUGGAUGGCUUGAAUCCGGGAGAGGGAUGCGGAAUUCCAGGUGUAGCGGUGAAAUGCGUAGAUAUCGAGAGGAACACCUGCGGCGAAGGCGGGUUGCUGGGCUGAUACUGACGCUGAGGCGCGAAAGCCAGGGGAGCGAACGGG